rnacentral:rRNA from 1 species
GAUGAACGCUAGCUAUAGGCUUAACACAUGCAAGUCGAGGGGAAACGGCAUUAUGUGCUUGCACAUUUUGGACGUCGACCGGCGCACGGGUGAGUAUCGCGUAUCCAACCUGCCCUUUACUUGGGGAUACCCCGUUGAAAGACGGCCUAAUACCCGAUGUAAUUCAUUGAUGGCAUCAGAUAUGAAUAAAAGAUUUAUCGGUAAAGGAUGGGGAUGCGUCUGAUUAGCUUGUUGGUGAGGUAACGGCUCACCAAGGCGACGAUCAGUAGGGGUUCUGAGAGGAAGGUCCCCCACAUUGGAACUGAGACGCGGUCCAAACUCCUACGGGAGGCAGCAGUGAGGAAUAUUGGUCAAUGGGCGCAAGCCUGAACCAGCCAAGUAGCGUGCAGGAAGACGGCCCUAUGGGUUGUAAACUGCUUUUAUACGAGAAUAAUUUGAUGCACGUGUGCGUUAUUGCAUGUAUCGUAUGAAUAAGGACCGGCUAAUUCCGUG